rnacentral:lncRNA from 1 species
UUCAUUGGGAGGGGUUUUCUACUGGCGUCAUUUGAAAAUAUAUAUUCCUGUAGCUAACAAUGAACAACUGGGAAUUUCUCCUCGUCGCACAAAGCCAUGGAAAUGUUUGUGGAUAACUUUUAUAACUGUACUCUGAGUCUGCAAUAUUCUAUAUCCCAUGGCCACAACCUUCCGAAUGUGACUCUGCAACAAGAAAAUUUGGCAGAACGUCCAAGUGGACUCACGAUCGCAGACCACAUGUAAUCAUGCCAGCCCAGACCUCCACAUCUCGUCUGAGACCAGCCACCCGGACAACUGAUUGGCUGGGCCUGAUUCCCCAGUGGGUGGGCCUGACUCCCCAGCUGCUCCAAUGUCAAAAGUGACAGAUGCAGAGGUCCACGCACAAAGAAAGCUGUUCCAUGAAAAUCAUCCUUGUCUACAUUGAGGUCCAUGUACAGACACUUUGCAGAGAAAAGAUGGUUUUGCUCUCAAAACUACAGAGAGAUACAAUUAUAUGAUCCAGACUAAUACAACUGAUGCACGGCAUCAAUGACAAGAACUAAUGGUUCCUGAUUAUGGAUUUUGAUGCACCAAUCAAACCUGUGGCAGCCUCUGAUCACGAGAUGUGUUUGUCUAUAGUGCUGACAUCUAUGGAAAUCAACUCAUUGUUAUUCUCUCUGAUGAAUGGCAUGUGUCGUUGGUCAAGGUGAACAGAAAAUGAUUAGAAAAUAAUCACGCAUUGUGUAAAUGCAUAGCUUUGUGCAGUGUAGCCAUUUGUUGGCUUGGCUGUGUGUUUAUAUUAUAUAGAGAAUUGCUGGCUGCAUGGCCACAGGUAAUACCGCCAUGCUGCUGUAUUAUGAUGAUUAAUGAUCUUCUUUUAAAAGAUGCAAAUUGCUUUGUGAAAAGCAUCACCAUUUUGUUCUAGCUGGUGCAGGUAAUCUGUUCUCUCCUUUGUUUUAAGUGGAAGGCAGCUGUCCAGUCUGUGCAUUUGGCUUGACUUUACAAGCGGUGUGUUAGAUUGCACCAACUCUUAAGAGAGGAAUUUGAUCCAGGGGGUUGAUUUAUUUGAUAAAAAGGAUGGGUAACACGUUAAGUUGACUACAUAUCCAUAAUGAAUUUAUUACACAUCUAUAAGCAUUUCAUAAACAUGUUAUAACAGGUCCUUACCACAUUAAUUAAAUAUAUCCAUAGCAUACAGGGGCACUACUUUGGUUUUAGAAGUGGGGGGGACAUAAUAUUAUUCUUAUUAUUAUUUGUAUAUUUUAUCCAGUCGGAUAAACAGCCUACCCGAGCACUCGGAGGCGUCCGCAUGGUCCUAAAGCACAAUGUUGCCUAGUUUUGUAUCAUAUUCCAAUGAUAAAACUGGGAGGGGGACAAAAAUGCAAUUUCAGAAUGUGGGGGGGUGUCCCCCAGUAAGUUGUGCCCCUGAUAGCAUAUCUAUAGCACAUUCAUGUCAUACUAUGCAAGAGCUCAUAUUUAGGUAUCUUAAUAGAUGCGUUAAUACAAAGACAGCUUAAUGUCAUCAUUAUGACUGUUCUCAAAAGUGUGCUUCUGCCAUACCAGUGUUAGUGAAUAUUCCAAAAGGCCAAACCCCAUUUAGAAAAUUAUGCCGAUAUAUAGCCUGUACCCGCCCUAUUUUCCCCACGGGCUGGUAUAGGGCCUUGACUUACCUUUUGCUUCUUCUUCUUACUGAGGUCCAUGGUGCAUGAAGAUCCCCACAAGGUUGAAUCCUCGGGGUACAUUUUAAGGAUGAAAUCGUGUAGUUGAGGGGCAUAUCAUAACUCUUUCGUAACUCAUUAACAGCCCCCCUCCACAUCAAAAUGAAUUUGGCCACACUGGACUAUAACACACAUAUGAAUGGUCUAUGUAUGAAUUAUAUCCAGUCAAAGUAAAGUAAAAUCUAUUUUCCCAUUCAUGAAGCAUUUAUAGCUAAGCACUUACUGGUAAUUAACGUUGCAGUUUUCCACUGGUCUAUAGCACC